rnacentral:lncRNA from 1 species
UCUCUCUCUCUCUCUCUCUCUCUCUCGAGGGGAGGGGAGUUGAAAGCAGAAAUUAAUUUUCAACUUCGAAAAGCACCCAGAUUCGAGGAUGGUCUUGGAUCUUCAUGCCAUUGCCCUUAGCCUGGUCGGUUUCCUGUUUGCUUUGCAAACAUGUCAGAAGAAACGGCUAUGUGGACGAGGGAAAGAUGAGCUAGCAGUUAAAAUCACUCCAAAUAAUAGCUCCCUUACCAAAUCAUUCAUUUCAUAAUCCUAUUUAUCCCUAAUUUAAUUCCACCUUUCAUUUAGCCUAUUAUUUAGCGCCAAUUGAACAGUGUGGCUACAUAUCAUUACUCUUCACGAAACACGUCUUUCCUCAGUGAAAUAAAAACCUACAAUUUGGGAAAAAUGAAAAUUAUGGAAAGAGAAAAGGAAAAAUAUAUAACUACUACACUUUAACUAUACAAUUUCACAUUUAACAAACUUAGAAAAAGAUUUGAAAAAUCAGGUGAUAAAUGACAAUAAUAUAUUACAUAUAUUUAUAAGAUAAAUAACAAUAACAACACAAAUUCUCUCUCUGCACAAAAUAUUCCAAUCUACCAUUCCUACCCCCAAUCCGAUGGAUAUCUGUUUAUAAAAAUUCUCCAAUCAACCAUACCCACCCUCACUCUCUCUCUCCCUCUCUCCAAAAUUGUUUAUGAGAAUCUUCACUAUAAGGAGUUGAAUGAUGGAGCUCUCAUUUGCAAGAUAUAGUUGCACACUUUUACUCCCUGACUAGUGCCUAACCUUGAUUUGGAUUUGGAGAAGCAGAAGCUGAAUGUUCAAUAUGGUCUCGAAUUUAAAUUUGGCUCUGUGUUGAUGUGGACAGAAAAAUCAGCUAAGGAUAGUGGAAUUUUAUUCAUGGACCAAACAUUAUCGCAUAAAUAAAAGCAUGAAAAAUUAUUACAGAUUCAAGCAAUCAUAUUAUGUAAUGAAAAAAAAUAAAAUUAAAAGAAAUAUAUAAAAGGCAAAAUCAUAUACCCAUUAUACCACUAUCAUAACCAAAAAUCAAUCAUCCCAUGACUGCUGCCAUUAGUGUUAUAACCACAUGCCGUGUGAGUUUUCUGAGGUACUUUGCAAGAUCGUCAUCUCGACCACCGUGGCUAAUAGCAAUAGUAGCAAAUCCCAUCUCCGACCCUCGCAAAUAAUAGCAAUAACCACCAUUUUUCAUCUUCCUUCAAUUUAGAUUGGGGAUUUUGGCGCCGAUUUUGCCACCUUUCAUGGUUGUUUCGGUGCUCGGUGUUGGACUAGGGUUUNNNNN